rnacentral:lncRNA from 1 species
UCAAAUUCACUCCUAUGGAUUAAUGUUCUUAGAUUUGCUACGUUGAAUCACACAGUAAACAUCAAGCCAGUUCAUUCUACGAAAUUACUGGCCUAUUAUAUUUGCCUAAUAUUUGCGGACCUUUAUUACUAACAAGAUUCAAAGAUUAACUAAUGCAUAGUGAGAAAAUAUAUAUAUAACUAAUGGUUAACUAAAAUACAAGUAUACUAUAACUAAAUACAUAAGUUGCUCCCAUUUCAUUUCAUCUUCAAGUUGUACAUAAAAUGAUUCAAAGUGGUGUACC